rnacentral:rRNA from 1 species
UUGUUGUGAGUAAGGCCCGCCAAGGCUAUAACAGGUACGGGCUCUGAGAGGAGGGGCCCGGAGAUGGGUACUGAGACACGGACCCAGGCCCUAUGGGGCGCAGCAGGCGAGAAACCUUUGCAAUGUGCGAAAGCACGACAAGGUUAAUCCGAGUGUCUCCUGCUAAAGGAGUCUUUUGUCAGUUGUAGAAUCACUGGUGAAUAAGGGGUGGGCAAGUUCUGGUGUCAGCCGCCGCGGUAAAACCAGCACCUCGAGUGGUCAGGAGGUUUAUUGGGCCUAAAGCAUCCGUAGCCGGUUGCAUAAGUUUUCGGUUAAAUCUAUGCGCUUAACGUAUAGGCCGCCGAAAAUACUGUGCAGCUAGGGAGUGGGAGAGGUACACGGUACUCGAUAGGAAGGGGUAAAAUCCUUUGAUCUAUUGAAGACCACCUGUGGCGAAGGCGGUGUACCAGAACACGUUCGACGGUGAGGGAUGAAAGCUGGGGGAGCAAACCGGAUUAGAUACCCGGGUAGUCCCAGCUGUAAACGAUGCAGACUCGGUGAUGCAUUGGCUUGUGGCCAAUGCAGUGCCGCAGGGAAGCCGUUAAGUCUGCCGCCUGGGAAGUACGUACGCAAAUAUGAAACUUAAAGGAAUUGGCGGGGGAGCACCACAAGGGGUGAAGCUGCGGUUCAAUUGGAGUCAACGCUG